AGUGAACGCUGGCGGUAGGCCUAACACAUGCAAGUCGAACGGCAGCACAGUAAGAGCUUGCUCUUACGGGUGGCGAGUGACGGACGGGUGAGGAAUACUUCGGAAUCUACUUUUUCGUGGGGGAUAACGUAGGGAAACUUACGCUAAUACCGCAUACGACCUACGGGUGAAAGCAGGGGAUCUUCGGACCUUGCGCGAUUGAAUGAGCCGAUGUCGGAUUAGCUAGUUGGCGGGGUAAAGGCCCACCAAGGCGACGAUCCGUAGCUGGUCUGAGAGGAUGAUCAGCCACACUGGAACUGAGACACGGUCCAGACUCCUACGGGAGGCAGCAGUGGGGAAUAUUGGACAAUGGGCGCAAGCCUGAUCCAGCCAUACCGCGUGGGUGAAGAAGGCCUUCGGGUUGUAAAGCCCUUUUGUUGGGAAAGAAAAGCAGCAGGUUAAUACCCCGCUGUUCUGACGGUACCCAAAGAAUAAGCACCGGCUAACUUCGUG
rnacentral:rRNA from 1 species